rnacentral:snRNA from 1 species
AUACUUACCUGGCAGGGGAAAUACCGUGACCACUAAGGCAGUUUUCCUAGUCACUGGGGAUAACUACUUUUCUGGCACAGGGUAGUACCCAUGGAGGUAAUGUAGAGCUAACCUCCCACUUGCUGCUUGAGUGGGAAGAUCUUGGCUUUAUGCCCACU